AGAGUUUGAUCAUGGCUCAGGACGAACGCUGGCGGCGUGCUUAACACAUGCAAGUGGAGCGACGAACCAGGCUUAGGCCUGGGGCAGAGCCGCGAACGGGUGAGUAACACGUGGGUAACCUACCCCGAUGACCGGGACAACCCGAGGAAACUCGGGCUAAUACCGGAUGAGCUCCUCUCUCGUGAGGGAGAGGAGGAAAGAUAGCUUCGGCCUUCGCAUCGGGACGGGCCCGCGGCGCAUUAGCUUGUUGGUGGGGUAACGGCCUACCAAGGCGACGAUGCGUAGCUGGUCUGAGAGGACGAUCAGCCACACUGGGACUGAGACACGGCCCAGACUCCUACGGGAGGCAGCAGUGGGGAAUCUUGCGCAAUGCGCGAAAGCGUGACGCAGCAACGCCGCGUGGGGGAAGAAGGCCUUCGGGUUGUAAACCCCUUUCAGUUGGGACGAAGCUUCGCCGGUUAAUAGCCGGCUGGAGUGACUGUACCUUCACAAGAAGCCCCGGCUAACUACGUGCCAGCAGCCGCGGUAAUACGUAGGGGGCUAGCGUUGUCCGGAUUUACUGGGCGUAAAGCGUGCGCAGGCGUCCUGCCAAGUCUCCGGUGAAAUCCCCCGGCUCAACUGGGGAACGGUCGGAGAAACUGGCAGGAUCGAGUAUGACAGAGGCAGACGGAAUUCCUGGUGUAGCGGUAAAAUGCGUUGAUAUCAGGAGGAACACCGAUGGCGAAGGCAGUCUGCUGGGUCAUCACUGACGCUCAGGCACGAAAGCGUGGGUAGCGAACGGGAUUAGAUACCCCAGUAGUCC
rnacentral:rRNA from 1 species